rnacentral:rRNA from 1 species
GCUCAGAAACUUAAAGGAAGUUGACGGGGCCCGGCACAAGCGGUGGAGUAUGUGGUUUAAUUCGAUGCAACGCGAAGAACCUUACCUGGUCUUGACAUCCCGGAGACCCUUAGGAAACUAGGGGUGCUUCCAUCUGGAAGAAUCUGGAGACAGGUGCUGCAUGGCUGUCGUCAGCUCGUGUCGUGAGAUGUUGGGUUAAGUCCCGCAACGAGCGCAACCCUUGCCUUUAGUUGCCAGCAGUUCGGCUGGGCACUCUAAAGGGACUGCCGGUGUUAAACCGGAGGAAGGUGGGGAUGACGUCAAGUCCUCAUGGCCUUUAUGACCAGGGCUACACACGUACUACAAUGGCCGAUACAAAGGGCAGCGACACUGCGAGGUGAAGCCAAUCCCGUAAAAUCGGUCUCAGUCCGGAUUGGAGUCUGCAACUCGACUCCAUGAAGUUGGAAUCGCUAGUAAUCGUGGAUCAGCAUGCCACGGUGAAUACGUUCCCGGGCCUU